UACGUAGGGUGCAAGCGUUGUCCGGAAUUAUUGGGCGUAAAGAGCUCGUAGGCGGUUUGUCGCGUCUGCUGUGAAAUCUGGGGGCCCAACCCCCAGCCUGCAGUGGGUACGGGCAGACUAGAGUGCGGUAGGGGAGAUUGGAAUUCCUGGUGUAGCGGUGGAAUGCGCAGAUAUCAGGAGGAACACCGAUGGCGAAGGCAGAUCUCUGGGCCGUAACUGACGCUGAGGAGCGAAAGCAUGGGGAGCGAACAGG
rnacentral:rRNA from 1 species